rnacentral:misc_RNA from 1 species
GUCAAUUCCCGUUGGUCCAAGGUAUGUUCUUAAACAAAUGAUGCUUCCAUUCAAUAAAAUACAUCCAGGGCAGGUUUUAAUAUUGAGUGUGGAAUCAUUUGCGGCCAGUAUCACAAAUGAAUGGAGUUGGACUUUAUUAGUCACCACUUCAUGAUUAGUGAAGCACAAAUCAAGUAACCAACAUUUGGAACUUUAAUUUAACCAAAUAUGCAUGUACAUCAGUAUAUCCUGUCGAAGGACCUUUUUUUUAUUGAUUAAGAAACCUAAAAUUACAAAAAAUCUUCAUUAAAUUUUGUGCAUUCGAGCAAAUUACUUACAGUGAUAAGCAUAAAACUUAACAAUUUACAGUUGUAAAGAAAAAUAACAAUCAAAGAAAAG